ACAGGUGACUGAUGCCGAGUGAGAAGGUAUACCUGACACAUACCCCCGUCAGCUGCUAUAAAGGAACCACGAGACAGGUGACUGAUGCCAAGUGAGAAGGUAUACCUGACACGUACCCCCAUCAGCUGCAAUAAAGGAACCACGAGACAGGUGACUGAUGCCGAGUGAGAAGGUAUACCUGACACGUACCCCCGUCAGCUGCAAUAAAGGAACCACGAGACAGGUGACUGAUGCCGAGUGAGAAGGUAUACCUGACACAUACCCCCAUCAGCUCCAAUAAAGGAACCACGAGACAG